GCCCCUGUAGCUUAGUGGUAGAGCACCUGUAUGACCUGUACGUGGUGAGCGAAAUCGCCUAGCAAUAAAUGUCAGUAGGUCGCAGGAUCGAAGCCUGCCUGAGAUU
rnacentral:tRNA from 1 species